rnacentral:misc_RNA from 1 species
UCUCCGUUGGUGAACCAGCGGAGGGAUCAUUACAGAGUUGCAAAACUCCCAAACCAUUGUGAACGUUACCUAUCCCGUUGCUUCGGCGGGCGGCCCGGGCCCCGCGCCCGGCGCCCCCCGGCCCCCCGUGGGCGCCCGCCGGAGGUAAACCAAACCCUUGAAUUGCAUGCCUCUCUGAGUCUUCUGUACUGAAUAAGUCAAAGCUUUCAACAACGGAUCUCUUGGUUCUG